rnacentral:rRNA from 1 species
CCUUUGACGUUAGCGGCGGACGGGUGAGUAACACGUGGGUAACCUACCUAUAAGACUGGGAUAACUUCGGGAAACCGGAGCUAAUACCGGAUAAUAUUUCGAACCGCAUGGUUCGAUAGUGAAAGAUGGUUUUGCUAUCACUUAUAGAUGGACCCGCGCCGUAUUAGCUAGUUGGUAAGGUAACGGCUUACCAAGGCGACGAUACGUAGCCGACCUGAGAGGGUGAUCGGCCGACACUGGAACUGAGACACGGUCCAGACUCCUACGGGAGGCAGCAGAA